rnacentral:tRNA from 1 species
ACGCUGGUGAUUCAGUGGUAGAAUUCUUGCUUUCCAUACAGGACACCCGGGUUCGAUUCCUGGCUAAUGCA